GAUGAACGCUGGCGGCGUGCCCAAUACAUGCAAGUCGAGCGAACAGACGAGGAGCUUGCUCCUCUGACGUUAGCGGCGGACGGGUGAGUAACACGUGGAUAACCUACCUAUAAGACUGGGAUAACUUCGGGAAACCGGAGCUAAUACCGGAUAAUAUAUUGAACCGCAUGGUUCAAUAGUGAAAGACGGUUUUGCUGUCACCUAUAGAUGGAUCCGCGCCGCAUUAGCUAGUUGGUAAGGUAACGGCUUACCAAGGCAACGAUGCGUAGCCGACCUGAGAGGGUGAUCGGCCACACUGGAACUGAGACACGGUCCAGACUCCUACGGGAGGCAGCAGUAGGGAAUCUUCCGCAAUGGGCGAAAGCCUGACGGAGCAACGCCGCGUGAGUGAUGAAGGUCUUCGGAUCGUAAAACUCUGUUAUUAGGGAAGAACAAAUGUGUAAGUAACUAUGCACGUCUUGACGGUACCUAAUCAGAAAGCCACGGCUAACUACGUG
rnacentral:rRNA from 1 species